rnacentral:rRNA from 1 species
UACGGAGGGAGCUAGCGUUGUUCGGAAUUACUGGGCGUAAAGCGCACGUAGGCGGCUUUGUGAGUUAGAGGUGAAAGCCCGGGGCUCAACCCCGGAAUUGCCUUUAAGACUGCAUCGCUUGAAUCCGGGAGAGGUGAGUGGAAUUCCGAGUGUGAGAGGUGAAAUUCGUAGAUAUUCGGAAGAACACCAGUGGCGAAGGCGGCUCACUGGACCGGCAUUGACGCUGAGGUGCGAAAGCGUGGGGAGCAAACAGG